GAUGAACGCUGGCGGCGCGCCUAACACAUGCAAGUCGAACGGCACCUGCCUUCGGGCAGAAGCGAGUGACGAACGGCUGAGUAACACGUGGAGAACCUGCCCCCUCCCCCGGGAUAGCCGCCCGAAAGGACGGGUAAUACCGGAUACCCCGGGGUGCCGCAUGGCACCCCGGCUAAAGCCCCGACGGGAGGGGAUGGCUCCGCGGCCCAUCAGGUAGACGGCGGGGUGACGGCCCACCGUGCCGACAACGGGUAGCCGGGUUGAGAGACCGACCGGCCAGAUUGGGACUGAGACACGGCCCAGACUCCUACGGGAGGCAGCAGUGGGGAAUCUUGCGCAAUGGGGGGAACCCUGACGCAGCGACGCCGCGUGCGGGACGGAGGCCUUCGGGUCGUAAACCGCUUUCAGCAGGGAAGAGUCAAGACU
rnacentral:rRNA from 1 species